AACGCGUGGGAAUGUACCCUUCACUGCGGAAUAGCCACUGGAAACGGUGAGUAAUACCGCANACGCCCUUCGGGGGAAAGAUUUAUCGGUGAAGGAUCAGCCCGCGUCUGAUUACGAUAGUUGGUGGGGUAACGGCCUACCAAGUCGACGAUCAGUAGCUGGUUUUAGAGGAUGAUCAGCAACACUGGGACUGAGACACGGCCCAGACUCCUACGGGAGGCANCAGUGGGGAAUCUUAGACAAUGGGCGCAAGCCUGAUCUAGCCAUGCCGCGUGAGUGAUGAAGGCCUUAGGGUCGUAAAGCUCUUUCGCCAGGGAUGAUAAUGACAGUACCUGGUAAAGAAACCCCGGCUAACUCCGUGCCAGCAGCCGCGGUAAUACGGAGGGGGUUAGCGUUGUUCGGAAUUACUGGGCGUAAAGCGCACGUAGGCGGACUAUUAAGUCAGGGGUGAAAUCCCGGGGCUCAACCCCGGAACUGCCUUUGAUACUGGUAGUCUUGAGUUCGAGAGAGGUGAGUGGAAUUCCGAGUGUAGAGGUGAAAUUCGUAGAUAUUCGGAGGAACGCCAGUGGCGAAGGCGGCUCACUGGCUCGAUACUGACGCUGAGGUGCGAAAGUGUGGGGAGCAAACAGGAUUAGAUACCCUGGUAGUCCACACCGUAAACGAUGAAUGCCAGACGUCGGCUAGCAUGCUAGUCGGU
rnacentral:rRNA from 1 species